UACAGAGGUCCCAAGCGUUGUUCGGAUUCAUUGGGCGUAAAGGGUGUGUAGGUGGCGCCGUAAGUCGGGUGUGAAAUCCCGGGGCUCAACCCCGGAACUGCAUUGGAUACUGCCUUGCUAGAGUACUGGAGAGGGAACUGGAAUUUACGGUGUAGCAGUGAAAUGCGUAGAGAUCGUAAGGAAGGCCGGUGGCGAAGGCGAGUUCCUGGACAGUUACUGACGCUGAGGCACGAAGGCCAGGGGAGCAAACGGG
rnacentral:rRNA from 1 species